CGCCGCCCUGCCGCCUGGGCUCCUUCCUCUCCGGGCCUUUUCUGUAUCUCUAUCCCCUUCACCCCCGGCGGGGCGAGCAUCCCCUGAGUCAGGAGAAGAGAAAGCCAAGCUAAGAUGUAUUGAAAAAGAAAGAGAAGAGGGAAGAAGUCGAGGAGAGGCCCUGUGUGUUAAGGAAACAGCCUGGGGGUUUGAGAGGCAGCAUUUUGAGGCUGGCCAUUUUAACCUCUCCCUGUAUGCGUCCUUUCGUUUAUUAAGGUCGUAUUUACCGUCUUCCUCUUCCUUCGGGUUGGGGCUGAACUGGGCUAUAAGGAAUAGGCUGAGUAAAGCUGGGAGCUGUACCUCCCUCCCUACGUUUACAACCUUAUAACCCUGUGGGCAAGGCAGACAUGGGGGAAAUUAUCCUUUAAAACAGGAUGGAACCAACAGAAAUGACAUUUCACAGAUGGAUGCCAAAGCUGUUAAAGUUUAAACUCACACUGGCAGUGAAAUUACAGUUUUCCCAGAGGCCUUGACUCCAGCCUCUCUCUUUAUCCAUCUCGGAAAGACUGUGAGGUUUGAGAACAAAAACAAGCCACUCUGAGUAAGCAUGGAGCUCAGCUGGUGGGAGCUGAAGCGGCGAGGACACCAGGCAGGCAGAAGUCACAAGCAUCUGUCUCACUGGACAAUCAGUCAGUACAUCUGACAAAGGGAUUUGAAAACAUCAGUUAGCUCCCAGAGGAGCUCAAUUAAAAGUGCCUCGAUUGUAAUUAAAAACUAAUAAAUAUUUCAAGGAAAAGCAGUGGGUGCCAUAAAGGUCUAUGCUGGGGAGACAUGCUCUUCUUGCCUUGGGAAGUCAGGGAAGGCCUCCGAGGCCCAUUAGAAUUACCUCAGAGAGGGGCUGAGGCAGGAGUUCUGAGAGAGAGUACAGCAGCAUCUGGCGGCUGUAGAGGACUGAGGGAGUGUGUGUUGAACACGAGGAACUGAAGGAAGCUGGUUGUGUGAAGAGCAGAGGUGGAGGAUGGGUACAGGGCAUGGUAGUGGGAAGACUGAGACCACUCCAUGACAGCUCUAAGGCCAGUGGUUUUCAACCUUCCUAAUGCGGUGACCCUUUAUUACAAUUCCUCAUGUUGUGCUGACCCCCAACCAUAACAUCAUUUUCAUUGCUAGCUCAUAGCGGUAAUUUUGCUACUGUUGUAACUGUAAUGUAAUUAUCUGUGUUUUUGGAUGGUCUUAGGCAACCCCUUGUGAAAGGGUGGUUCAGGGAUCGCGACCCCAUGGGUUCAGAACUGUUGUCUUAGGGCUUUGACAAGCGUGGUUGACUUCACCCUGUCCACAGUGACAAGUUGCCAAUGCAGGUGAAGCAAAGGUCUGCUUAUUUUACAAAGAACAGCAUCCAAUUUAUAGAGUCUAAACCUUCAAGUCUAAUUUGGGAAUUUGAUUUCUUUUUUUCCAAUGUAAAUAUGCCAUGUGAUACUUUGUAGACAAAAACAAAACAAAACAAAACACAACUUUAACCUCUGGCUCCAGGAUUUCUCUUAGGUAGGUAGCUGUGCUUAUUGAGGAAAUUGCGUUCACCAGCAGCUUGUGUGUCAAAGAUGAGCAUCUUUUGUUGUCAAGACAACAAAGGGGAUGCUAAAUGUCUCUGCUGAGAAAAAAAAAGGGAGGGAAAGAGAAUUUAGUUUCUAGGCUUCUAUAACUAUGUACCACAAAGUGGGUAGCUUAAAACAACAGAUGUUUAUUAAAUCCCCCAUUUUGGAGGCUGGAAGUUGGAAAUCAAAGUGUCAGCAGGACCGUGUACCCUCGACGAGGCUCUCUCUUCAUGCUUUCUUUCCUGCUGGUGGCCAGCAAUCCUGCCAUUCCUGGUUUGCGACCCUUCCUCUGUUGUCACAAGGCGUCCUCUCUGUGCCUUGAUAACUUUCUUAUAAAGAAUAUUGUUAUAUUGGAUUAGCAUCUGCAUUAAUACCUUUACCUUAAGUCGCUUAUGCUUGUAAAUACUCUAUUUUUACAUUUUCAGGUACUGGGAUUGGGGGCUCUAAGGGCAAAACCCUGGAACCUAUAACACACUUGAAGGAAAGGAGUUAGGAAGAAUCAGAAAAAUUAUGUGACGUUAGGUAACUGGGGUGGUUAUAACAAGAAGUUGCUAGUGGUGGGGUGGAUGAAAGACUAAAAAGGGGUUCUAAAGUACUUUUCUUACAGAGUAAGAUGCAAAAAUGUCUCUUUACAGUGCUCAUUUACUCUGUCUGCUACAGAUGUGUUAAUAAUGAUUUGACAGCGGAGAUGAGAAGGCGAAUGACAGUAGAGCCACUGAGAAUUCUUGGUCCCCAUGUUGGAGUCUCUGACUGAAGUUUGUAAUCAUAGAGAUUCUCCAGAGAGCAAUUCAGGAAAUCUGAGAAAAAGAUCACUGAACAUCUGUGUGGUGGUUUGAAAUAAAAUGGCCCCCCAAAGGGAGUGGCACUAUUCGGAGGUGUGG